rnacentral:rRNA from 1 species
UACGUAGGUGGCAAGCGUUGUCCGGAUUUACUGGGCGUAAAGAGCGCGCAGGCGGUCGUCCAAGUCGCGUGUGAAAGCCCCCGGCUCAACUGGGGAGGGUCACGCGAUACUGGUCGACUCGAAGGCAGGAGAGGGUAGUGGAAUUUCCCGGUGUAGUGGGUGAAAUGCGUAGAUAUCGGGAGGAACACCAGUGGCGAAGGCGACUACCUGGCCUGUUCUUGACGCUGAGGCGCGGAAAAGCUAGGGGGAGCAAAACGGGGGG